CGGCUUUUAAAGUUGCGGGUGGAAACGUUGGCAUGCAGCUACCUGCUCCAUUUUCUUGACGAGUUCUGGAGCCGGUGGGUCGUCGCCCUUUAACUCCCGAUAUUCAAGGUUCAGCAUUACCGUCCCCUCCCGGAACCACUGAGCGCACACUGAGGCAGCAGCUUCGCGUCAAACAAACAACGCGUGAGGAAGUGUAAGCAGAAAUUGCUGUGGGAUUGUGUGUUUGCAGAAGAAGAGGCCCUUCUCAAAACUGAGGGGAAAAAAAAAAAAGUUGUCAAAAGAGUGUAAAGUGUAGUGAAAAUCUUUGACAAAAUACUUUAUAUGAUACUGAGCUUGUUGAGGUUUGACUAUGUCGCGGUUUUCUAAUUUCCAACGCCGAAAAAAAUCCCUCCUGAAACUUUCCUUUUUAGUGUUUUUUUUUCCCUUUUCUUUACAAACAAAAUAAAGACAUCAUAAAUAUUAAA